rnacentral:lncRNA from 1 species
AUCUGCAUAUACUUGAUGUUUAAUGUUCACCUUAUAAGUUUAAUGUUCUUUACCUCCAUCUUUUUGUUGCUUUACUUUAUAACUCUAAUAUAAUUUCUUUUAUUAAGAUAUACAAGUGUCCAUAUAUCAGAUUGUGAAUUUUUACGGUUAUGUUUUUAAUUUCUACCAUUUCAUUUAAUUUGUGAUUUGUUAGAUGUAGACAAAUAGUAUUUAUGACCAUAGUUCAUUCCAUUAUAUUAAAGAAGAGAUUUGAUUAAUGUAGGUGAGAUUUGGAAAACAUAUGAUGAUGUUUUCUUCAUUAUAAUGCAGAUUUCUAAUGAAGAUGUUAAGCAUGGAUUAAGUGUAAAAAAUUGUAAUUUUAAUUUUUUAUCUCAAUUUUUAUCCUUAAGUUGUUUUUGUGUAAAUAUAUAUUGUACUUUAAUUUGAAUUCACUUUUCUAAAUACAUAUUUGUGUAUUUAUUAUAUAUUUCAUAUAUGUAUUGGUAAUUUGAAAAACCUGUUUAUGUUUUAUCAGAUAUAUAAAUUUCUAGUUAUUGAAUGUAAAUAUGAAUUUUUUUUUUAUAAAGCUG